UACAGGACCUGAAGGAGGAUCAGGAGCUGACCAACUAGACACAAUCGACUGAACGACGCUUGCUAGUGAUGAUGUCCUCAACACUCAUGAGUUCCCACCUUUCUAUCCUACUCAAAUAUGAAGGGUGGUUGUUACAAACCGAUUGUUUUGCACAUGACCAACAACGGUGACGAUGAUGAGGAUGACAAACGGUGAGGAUGAUGGCGAUGGACAACAGCGAGGACGACGGCGAGAGACAAUGGUGAGGACGAAUGUGUCUCCAAUUCAUGAAGAUCUAAUGUGAUGAGGUUCAUUGUACUUUAAGUAGAAUUAUUGACAUGGCAGGUUGUGAUUGAAGGGCUGCUAUUCUCAGUUAAAUAGCCCGACCAUCAAGCAGCAUUUUCCUUUUGAUAAAAUUGUAGGUUUUUUUUUUCACUCAUCAAUACAAGGAUUGAAAUUUUAUGAUUGUUAUUGUCAUA